GAUGAACGCUGGCGGCGUGCUUAACACAUGCAAGUCGAACGGAGUUAUGAUGAAGCCUAGCGAAUCAUAACUUAGUGGCGGACGGGUGAGUAACGCGUGGGUAACCUGCCGUAUACAGGGGGAUAACACUUAGAAAUAGGUGCUAAUACCGCAUAAGCGCACAGUACCGCAUGGUACAGUGUGAAAAACUCCGGUGGUAUACGAUGGACCCGCGUCUGAUUAGCUAGUUGGUGAGGUAAUGGCCCACCAAGGCGACGAUCAGUAGCCGGCCCGAGAGGGUGAACGGCCACAUUGGGACUGAGACACGGCCCAAACUCCUACGGGAGGCAGCAGUGGGGAAUAUUGCACAAUGGGGGAAACCCUGAUGCAGCGACGCCGCGUGAGUGAAGAAGUAUUUCGGUAUGUAAAGCUCUAUCAGCAGGGAAGAUAAUGACGGUACCUGACUAAGAAGCCCCGGCUAACUACGUG
rnacentral:rRNA from 1 species